rnacentral:rRNA from 1 species
GUGACCUUUGUGUAGGGGUGAAAGGCCCAUCGAGUCCGGAAACAGCUGGUUCCAACCGAAACAUGUCGAAGCAUGACCUCUGCCGAGGUAGUUCGUGGGGUAGAGCGACGGAUUGGGGGACCGCACUCCGAGAGGAGUGCGCCCCCCUGUCCAACUCCGAACCUACGAACGCCGUUCGACGCAGGGAGUCCGGUGCGCGGGGUAAGCCUGUGUACCGUGAGGGAGACAACCCAGAGCUGGGUUAAGGUCCCCAAGUGUGGAUUAAGUGCGAUCGAAGGUGGUCUCAAGCCCUAGACAGCCGGGAGGUGAGCUUAGAAGCAGCUACCCUCUAAGAAAAGCGUAACAGCUUACCGGCCGAGGUUUGAGGCGCCCAAAAUGAUCGGGGCUCAAAUCCACCACCGAGACCUAGCGGCGUGUGUCACAACACGAUCCCGUAGGUUGGCGUUCUGUUCGGGCGGAAGCACGGCUGAGAAGUCGUGUGGACCGUUCAGUAACGAAAAUCCUGGUCAUAGUAGCAGCGUUAGUCGGGUUAGAACCCCGACGGCCGAACGAGUAAGGGUUCCUCAGCAAUGCUGAUCAGCUGAGGGUUAGCCGGUCCUAAGUCAGCCCGUAAGUCGAAGCUGACAACAGGGAAAUAGGUUAAUAUUCCUAUGCCAGUGUGCACUCAAAGCCGACGCUUUGGGGCCGCCUCUGCCGGGCUAUCGCCCGGUCGAACAGUCGAAAUUCGUGGAAGCCGUAAUGGCACGAAGCGAACGAAUGGCUGGAUAGCG